UACGGAGGGGGCUAGCGUUGUUCGGAAUUACUGGGCGUAAAGCGCACGUAGGCGGCUUUGUAAGUCAGAGGUGAAGGCCCGGGGCUCAACUCCGGAAUUGCCUUUGAGACUGCAUCGCUUGAAUCCGGGAGAGGUGAGUGGAAUUCCGAGUGUAGAGGUGAAAUUCGUAGAUAUUCGGAAGAACACCAGUGGCGAAGGCGGCUCACUGGACCGGUAUUGACGCUGAGGUGCGAAAGCGUGGGGAGCAAACAGG
rnacentral:rRNA from 1 species